CCUACGGGAGGCAGCAGUGGGGAAUAUUGCACAAUGGGGGAAACCCUGAUGCAGCGACGCCGCGUGAGUGAAGAAGUAUUUCGGUACGUAAAGCUCUAUCAGCAGGGAAGAAAAUGACGGUACCUGACUAAUAAGCCCCGGCUAACUACGUGCCAGCAGCCGCGGUAAUACGUAGGGGGCAAGCGUUAUCCGGAUUUACUGGGUGUAAAGGGAGCGUAGACGGCAGCGCAAGUCUGGAGUGAAAUCCCAUGGCUUAACCAUGGAACUGCUUUGGAAACUGUGCAGCUAGAGUGCAGGAGAGGUAAGCGGAAUUCCUAGUGUAGCGGUGAAAUGCGUAGAUAUUAGGAGGAACACCAGUGGCGAAGGCGGCUUACUGGACUGUAACUGACGUUGAGGCUCGAAAGCGUGGGGAGCAAACAGGAUUAGAUACCCUAGUAGUC
rnacentral:rRNA from 1 species